AAUACAAGUCUCUGUGUUUACUUGGGACUGAGCAGCUUCAGGACACAGGAAAACUUCCGGCUACAUUUGAGGGCGAGAGGACCCAGCUUCUGCAACCCUCAUCCUCCCGCACGGGCUUCCCUGGUAGAAGCUUGUACCUGUCACUCUUGAGGACCUGGGAUGUGAGAGGUAUUAUCCAGGAACCUGGAAAGGGCACUGAACAGGGAGUCCAACCAGACAAUUCACGCCAGCUGGGGUGGCUGCAGCAGGCUGGGGGGACCUGCUGUACAGAAAUGUUGCCUUUCCGCCCUGCAUGCUGGGGGCCCCCAGCCUUCCCACAAACCCCGUUUUUGAAGUGUCUCCGACUGAGGCUUUUUUAGGGAGGACAUUGUAGGGAACGGGAUGAAAUACCAAGCGGAGCUGGAGUAAGACGACAUUGCCAGACUUCUGGACAGCAAAGGACACCACACUCAAGUGAAGAAGCAGCCUACAGAAUGAGGAAAAGUCUUUACUUGCUACGCCUUGAUAGAGGGUCUAGAAUAUAAAUUAACUAAAAAAAUUGAAUAGCAACAAAAAUAACCCAGCUAAAAAGAGUGGCAUGGAA